CCUCCAUUUCCGAGGCUGUUUCUGGGGCCUCUGACAGACCUCAGCGUGUGAUGGGCUCCCGGCGUCGCACUGUGAGAGACCGAAGUCUGCAAGGUUGAGACUGAGCUAAAGUUAAUCUGUGGCGACGUUCUGGAUGUACUGGACAAACACCUCAUUCCAGCAGCUACCAUUGGCAAGUCCAAGGUUUUCUAUUAUGAAAUGUAGGUUCUAUACUAACAAUUAACAAGUGUACUUUAAUAAAUUUAAACAUUCUCAGGAAUAAUUGGCUUUGUUUCUUUUUUUUCUUAGGCAUUUCAUAUUAUUUUCCUUAUUAAAUAUAACCAAAAAUCCCACAGAAAUUAACUGAGGAGCCUCUAAAUAUCAACAAAAGUAUCACUUGAUAGACUAGAAUUAAACAAGCACAUGAUUCUAAGAAAUGGCACAAGUGUAUUAAUCAUAAAAUAAAAUUUCUACAUGAAACAUUCAGCCAUUCUAGACCA